GGCGGAUAUAACUUAGGUGGUUAAAGUGCUAGACUGUGACUCUUGAAACAUGGGUUCAAAUCCCAUUAUUCGCC
rnacentral:tRNA from 1 species